rnacentral:misc_RNA from 1 species
AAAAAAAAAAAAAAAAAGAUGAAGAAGAAGAUAGAAUGAACUCACCCUUAUGAUUUGCGAACUGGUUAUCCCAAUAAUAAAUAAAGAUUGGUUGGAUUGCCAUUAUAAGUUGAGCUUUUACCUAUCUGGACAAUGUGAUGGUGUUCGACCAAUAGGAAUAAUAUCACCAAAAAGAGAAGAAAUGUGAUGUAAAUAGUUUUUCAAUAGUAAUUCAAUUUGUAGUCUUGCUCUCUUGAGGUAUAAGCAUAUAUAUAGUGGCUAAGUAGUUUGAAAUUUGUCUGAGUAGUUGUAUUUGAA